AAUAUUAUUAUUCAAAUGACAUCGAUUUUCUUCUUUGCACCAGAAACUCUUGUUUUAUUUUUGCAUUUCAUGAAACUCAUUAUUUUUCUAUUUGAAACACAAUAGAUAAUAAAUUAAAACUAAAAUAUCAUAUUUUUUUGAAAUGCUUAAUGAAAACACGUUUUUAAAAAAUCUUAAGAAGUGCCAUAAAGAAAUAAUCAAAAUUAGAAAAAAAAAUAUAACAGAUCACAUGCCGUACAUAAAGUAUGUAAUAUUGUAACAACCCCUUUUUUUUAAUGAAGUCAUUAACAGAUGUUAGAUUUCAAUUAUAUGUCCAAUAAUUUAUACCUAAGAUUGGUAAAUCACACAUUUUUGUAGUUCUGUAUGUAAUUCAAUAUUGUCUAUAUUAAACAAAAUAUCUAUGUAAUUAUGUUGUACGUUUUCUGAAUUCUUGUAAAGUAUUUUAAUAUUUUUAAUAUUUUUUUCAUAUUUUUUCAUCUUGAAGUUAUUGUUCUAUUUAUAAUUAAAAAUAAGAAUUUAUGAAAACUUAUUCUUAAGAAGUAAAUUACUUUGCAAAAUUUUAUCAACAUUUUCCUUAGUUACUAGGUUUUAUUUCAAAUAACAGAUCGUAAAUAGCUCCAAAUGAUGGUUGCAUAUAUUUUUAAAGAUCAGUUGCAGAAUUCUGAAUCAAAUUCUUACAUAAAAUAUUGGUACUCUUCUUUUGAAUCUUCAAUAUUAUUGCUAUCAAACAAUCUCAUGGUUCUAUAUGAUUGUACAUCUAAAAUCAUUAACCACAUAUAAAUUGCAUAAGAAAAUUUAGUUUUGUAGCUUUAAAAAUGUGAUUUCUUUGACUUAUCAAAAAAUAACUUACUUCUUUAAUAGAGGUUUAAAUAAUAGUUUUACAUUAAAUAAUUUUUUUAAUUCAAAUUAACAACUUGGAUCUUCUAAUCUAUUAAAAACAAUGUUUUUAUUGUAAUUGAAUUAUCAUCUAAAAUAAGAAGUUUAAAUGAAUAUUUAACAACCUAAAUAAAACUAAGCUAACAUAGUUUGUUAAUUUCUUUUUAAAGAAUUAUUGUUACAAUAUAUAGCUCUUAAAUUAAUAUUAUUUAUAAUAUGAAACAUAUGUGUUAAAUGGUUGGUUAAUGAAAAGUUGAUAAAUCAAAGGUUCUAAAAAGAUAAUUCUCAAAUCUUACAUUUGUAAUAAAACAACAAUAAUAAACAUAUUAUUGCGGACAUUAUAUUUUUUUAUAUGAUAUAAUUAAUAAUAAACAAAUGCACAUAAUUUCAAACAUAAGAGUAGUCAAUAUUAUGGAUAUUUCUUUUAAGUUCAUUAUAUAUAUACAUAUACUCAAUAAUUAUAGCAAAAAGAUACCAUUUUAUUAUAAGUUUUAAAUCAUGUCAGACCAAGUUAUUUGUUUUAAUACACCUUAACAUGGAUUAACAUGGAAUAACUUAGUUUAUGUAUGAUUCAAUAAAAUCAUGACCUAAUAAUUAUAUAUAUAGUAGAGGGUUUGUAUAAUAUAAUAAUAUAACUAUAUUAUUAUAGAUUAUCAUGUUAUUAAAGUUUAAAACCAUUUCUAUAUAUAUCCUGAUAAAAACUCCACGUAACACACAAGGAAACUUACGGAUUGUGUGUAUGUAUAAAUCCAUUUGUCUUUUCAG
rnacentral:lncRNA from 1 species